UACGUAGGGUGCAAGCGUUGUCCGGAAUUAUUGGGCGUAAAGGGCUCGUAGGCGGUCCAUCGCGUCGGGAGUGAAAAGCUGGGGCUUAACCCCAGUCCUGCUUCCGAUACGGGUGGACUAGAGGUAGGUAGGGGAGAACGGAAUUCCUGGUGUAGCGGUGAAAUGCGCAGAUAUCAGGAGGAACACCGGUGGCGAAGGCGGUUCUCUGGGCCUUACCUGACGCUGAGGAGCGAAAGCAUGGGGAGCAAACAGG
rnacentral:rRNA from 1 species